UACCAGCUGGGUUCUUAACCGCUGAGCCGCAACAGGAACCCUAAGCUUACUCCUCUGACGCUUUUUCUUGUCAGAAGUGAACUAGGCACUUUCACAGGUGUUACUGGCUAUUUUGUCUUCAUCAUCAGUUGCCCAAAACCAGGUCACAAAACGCAUCGUGGACAAUUUCCACGGCUACGCAACCGUCUAGACAUCCUUCCUACUGGAGAGGCUGGGCCUGGACACAGCGGUGGGGUGCCGGCAGGCUCGCAUUCCUGCCCCAGCCGCCUCCCAUAGGUGUGCGGGGCUCCCGUGGGAGAAGGCGCGGGGUCCUCGGACCGGAGCCAGGCAGAGACCCCCUUCUGCAAACUGACUGAGGCUAGAGAGGAAUCUUCGUACCCUGACCUGGGGCUCCAGGGGCAGCUGGGCAGGGAAGGAGGGAGGCCGGCGAGGCGUCAGGGGCAUGUCACCUGUCUUCACCAAUCAAGGCCAUUUGGGGGCUUGCGUGUUGCCCACGUGGCUUGGAGCCUGAACCGUGCGUCGGCCCGAGGUGCGUUCCAGAAACUUGAGUCACCUGAGUCUCCUUCAAGCUGAGCUGGUUAAGACCGGAGAGGACCCCUGACCCUCCGACCGCGCUUGCGCCCGGCUCGGCCUGCGCGCUUUUGAACCCGACGCGGCCGGAGCUUCGCUGCGCCUGCGCAGGGCGAGGGUUCCGCUCGCGUUUCCCGCCGCCGCCGCCGCCCGCCCUGCAUCUUCGCGCUUCACCCGAACUGAUAAUUUUAACACACCGUGAAAGGCCCAACCUUCAAAAGGAAAGAAGGCAUUUGCCAGCUGGGCUCCGAACUGGUCGGAUAAGUAGUUGCAAAUCUGCUUAUUUGUGACAAAAAGCAGAUCAGUGCCUGCCAGGGGGGCAGGUACACACCUCUCUCUCCACACCUCGCUCAGAGGAGCCGUGGUUCUUCAGCGUCCUGAUCACAAAAGAGACCAACACCUAGAGGCUGAUUCUGGAGCUUCUGUGUGGCUUCGGACACCAUUUUGGAUGUUCCAGGAUUCUGAGACGUUUCCAGUGGACGGCGUACUCGCCAGGUGUGCAAAGUAGGAAAGACACCCCACCCCUUGCCCCUGCAUCUGCCUGGUCCCCAUGACAACCUCACACACAGUCGCUGGAGCCGGUGAUUUAAACCUCAAAAUCUGCAAGGCCCACGGUUGGCAUCCCUCUCGUGUCACAGGCAACGGGAUAGUCGUCUUCCUGGAAAACUAGAACUGGACGUGGGGGUGCAGGUGUGUGAAAUCACUUAGGAACGGGGUGGGGGGGCAGCUCAGUCCUGCGACAGCUGAGGGCUGCUGCUGUCUGGUAAGCACACACCUUGCACGAGCAAGAAUUACAGGUCACUUUUCUUCUCCAAGGUGUGUUUGCGUCAUAGCUUCUCACUCCAGGAGGCUGUAAAGCUCUGGGUGAUAAAGCUUUUCUAGUAACAAGGAAAUCAGUGCUGUCACAACUAACAGACCACGACUAGCAACAGUUGACAGCCCAGUGAAAAUCAACCGACUUUUCAUCUUACCCAGACCAUGUGGGUCCAGGAAGAGGGUGCUGGGGGCUGCCGACCUGCCAUGGGGGGUUCACAGACUCUCCAGGAGCCCCCAGGUGGCCCCAUCUCUUUGAGCGCGUCUCUCAUUUCUCUGUUGUAACAGUGGCCGCCAGGCAGCCGGGCCAGGUCUUUGAUGAAGAGUCAGAGGCUGGCAAAUGGGUCCCCACGCCAGGACGAGGGCUCGCUAGCCCAGCCCUCAACCAUCUGGGCCCAGGUUCAGAGCAAAGGGGAGACAGCCCCCAGGCAGGACGCUGGGAAGCCCCCCAAAGCCCCAGCAGUGGCGGCGGGCCUUGGGUGACCAAGGGCCUGAGACGUGAACUCACGUGGUAUCUGAGUGGCUGCUGCCCCCACCCAGGACGGCCAGCCCAGCCGAGCAGAGACUGCACCAAGGAGGCAGGCACCGGAGCCGUGAGUGGGAGCAGGUGGUCCUCGUGCCUCUGAGAGCACAGCCCCCUUUGGGAAGCUGGGUGAGGGUCCCCAGAUGGGGAUGGCGGGGUGGGGGCGGCAUUCUACCAGCAGAGUAUAAAGAUUAGUCGUGUAGGAAUUCCCACCUUGGCGCAACCAGAUCAAUGGCGCCUUGGGAUUGGAUGCUUUAGCGUUUUCUAUGUGUGAGGUCAUGUUGUCUUUCCAGGGCUGCACCCACAGCAUAUGCAGGUUCCCAGGCUAGGGGGCAAAUCGGAGCUACAG